rnacentral:rRNA from 1 species
AUGAACCAUUCAUGGAGCAAGCAUUUCAUGGUCAUACACUCAUCAACCCCACUUACAAGAGCACCACCCAUUAAUAACCUCUGGUCCUCGGUGAUGAUGACCAAGCACAUGAGGAACAAUGGGCAAGGACUUCUGUUGCUUUCAUUUCUUCUUGUGGUGUGUUUGACUUGUCUUGGAUGCACAUAUGGUGAAACCAUAAAGACUAGCAACAUGAUGGCCAAAGUAAGCCAUGUAACCAGACCCCCUUGUUAUAAAGACAAGCAAGUCCUUGGACAAUUCUGCUGUAAGAUAGAUAAGUUGUGCUGGCCAAAUCUCGGAGAAUGCUUUGUCAACUGUCCCUGCAAGAUUAAUUGCAAACGAGCAGCAGCAACAACACAUUAG